GUGGGGAAUCUUGCGCAAUGGGCGAAAGCCUGACGCAGCCAUGCCGCGUGAAUGAUGAAGGUCUUAGGAUUGUAAAAUUCUUUCACCGGGGACGAUAAUGACGGUACCCGGAGAAGAAGCCCCGGCUAACUUCGUGCCAGCAGCCGCGGUAAUACGAAGGGGGCUAGCGUUGCUCGGAAUUACUGGGCGUAAAGGGCGCGUAGGCGGACAGCUUAGUCAGAGGUGAAAGCCCAGGGCUCAACCUUGGAAUUGCCUUUGAUACUGGCUGUCUUGAGUUUGGGAGAGGUGAGUGGAACUCCGAGUGUAGAGGUGAAAUUCGUAGAUAUUCGGAAGAACACCAGUGGCGAAGGCGACUCACUGGCCCAAUACUGACGCUGAGGCGCGAAAGCGUGGGGAGCAAACAGGAUUAGAUACCCGGGUAGUCC
rnacentral:rRNA from 1 species